GUUGACAUUUCACCUCAUUCGCCGGGAUAACGCAAAUGUUGCUUUGAAGUGCCGCAAACAUGCGAAUCCUUAAAGGAUCCUCCACUUCGUCGGUUUCCCUGGAAAUCCAUCAGC
rfam:Drosophila ficusphila unplaced genomic scaffold scf7180000453833, whole genome shotgun sequence